rnacentral:rRNA from 1 species
UACGUAGGGCGCAAGCGUUGUCCGGAAUUAUUGGGCGUAAAGAGCUCGUAGGCGGCUUGUCGCGUCGACUGUGAAAUCCCGCGGCUCAACUGCGGGUCUGCAGUCGAUACGGGCAGGCUAGAGUUCGGUAGGGGAGACUGGAAUUCCUGGUGUAGCGGUGAAAUGCGCAGAUAUCAGGAGGAACACCGGUGGCGAAGGCGGGUCUCUGGGCAUUAACUGACGCUGAGGAGCGAAAGCAUGGGGAGCGAACAGG